rnacentral:miRNA from 9 species
AACCACUAUCUACAUUGCCCCG